rnacentral:rRNA from 1 species
GCGGUGGAGCAUGUGGUUAUUCGACGCAACGCGAAGAACCUUACCUAGGCUUGACACUCCCGGGAAUCCUGAUGAAAGUCGGAGUGCCCCGCAAGGGGAGCCCGGAGACAGGUGCUGCAUGGCUGUCGUCAGCUCGUGUCGUGAGAUGUUGGGUUAAGUCCCGCAACGAGCGCAACCCUCGCCUUUAGUUGCCAGCAUUUAGUUGGGCACUCUAGAGGGACUGCCGGUGUUAAACCGGAGGAAGGUGGGGAUGACGUCAAGUCCUCAUGGCCUUUAUGCCUAGGGCUACACACGUGCUACAAUGGGCGGUACAAAGGGUUGCAAUCCCGCGAGGGGGAGCCAAUCCCAAAAAGCCGUUCUCAGUUCGGAUUGGAGUCUGCAACUCGACUCCAUGAAGUUGGAAUCGCUAGUAAUCGUGGAUCAGCAUGCCACGGUGAAUACGUUCCCGGGCCUU